rnacentral:lncRNA from 1 species
UUUUCGAUGAUCCGAUUGUGUCAAAGUCAAUAGCGUUGACGGAUUUUAUGUUUGAUGCACGAUUUUCAAGAAAAAUAGGUUUUAUCGCUGGGAGGGAUUUUAUCUUAUGUUGUUUUUGCUUUUUAGACAUGAUCAGUGCUUCGUUUUGCGCGAAAACCUGCGGGCAGGGGCCUUUCUAUGAGAGGAUUAUGUUGGAGAUGGACUGGAUCGGAAAUUUGAAUUUUUGGGAGAGUUUUGGACAAUUAUUCUUUAAAUAAUGGUAUUAUUUUUUUUAAAAAAAAAGUGGGUAUUGGGGGUUUUUGGGAA